rnacentral:rRNA from 1 species
CGGUGAUUUAAGUCAGAUGUGAAAGCCCCGGGCUUAACCUGGGAACUGCAUUUGAUACUGGGUCACUAGAGUUGAGUAGAGGAGAGUGGAAUUUCAGGUGUAGCGGUGAAAUGCGUAGAGAUCUGAAGGAACACCAGUGGCGAAGGCGGCUCUCUGGACUCAAACUGACGCUGAGGUACGAAAGCGUGGGUAGCAAACAGGAUUAGAUACCCUGGUAGUCCACGCCGUAAACGAUGUCAACUAACUGUUGGGUUCUUAAAGAACUUAGUAGUGGAGCUAACGUAUUAAGUUGACCGCCUGGGGAGUACGGCCGCAAGGCUAAAACUCAAAUGAAUUGACGGGGGCCCGCACAAGCGGUGGAGCAUGUGGUUUAAUUCGAUGCAACGCGAAGAACCUUACCUACCCUUGACAUCCUCGGAACUUGUCAGAGAUGACUUGGUGCCUUCGGGAACCGAGAGACAGGUGCUGCAUGGCUGUCGUCAGCUCGUGUUGUGAAAUGUUGGGUUAAGUCCCGUAACGAGCGCAACCCUUAUCCUUAGUUGCCAGCGAGUCAUGUCGGGAACUCUAGGGAGACUGCCGGUGAUAAACCGGAGGAAGGUGGGGACGACGUCAAGUCAUCAUGGCCCUUAUGGGUAGGGCUACACACGUGCUACAAUGGCCGGUACAGAGGGCAGCGAAACCGUGAGGUCAAGCAAAUCCCACAAAGCCGGUCCCAGUCCGGAUUGCAGUCUGCAACUCGACUGCAUGAAGUCGGAAUCGCUAGUAAUCGCGGAUCAGAAUGCCGCGGUGUAUCCGUUCCCGGGCCAGGUUCACUCCCCAUAAAAGGACCCGUCCGGCAGACGUCGAUUCC